rnacentral:rRNA from 1 species
CUGGCUCAGGAUGAACGCUAGCGGCAGGCUUAACACAUGCAAGUCGAGGGGCAUCGGGAGUAGCAAUACUUGCCGGCGACCGGCGCAAGGGUGCGUAACGCGUGAGCAACAUGCCCGUAUCAGGGGGAUAAUCCAUGGAAACGUGGUCUAAUACCCCAUAGUAAUUAUGUAAGGCAUCUUAUAUAAUUUAAAGCUUUGGUGGAUACGGAUUGGCUCGCGUGACAUUAGCUGGAUGGUAAGGUAACGGCUUACCAUGGCUACGAUGUCUAGGGGUUCUGAGAGGAAGGUCCCCCCACACUGGAACUGAGACACGGUCCAGACUCCUACGGGAGGCAGCAGUGAGGAAUAUUGGACAAUGGAUGGAAAUCUGAUCCAGCCAUGCCGCGUGCAGGAAAGACGGCCCUAUGGGUUGUAAACUGCUUUUGUAUGGGAGCAAUAAGGGCUACGUGUAGUCCGAUGAGAGUACCAUACGAAUAAGCACCGGCUAACUCCGUGCCAGCCGCUGC